UACAGAGGUCUCAAGCGUUGUUCGGAUUCAUUGGGCGUAAAGGGUGUGUAGGUGGCGCGCUAAGUCGGGUGUGAAAUCUCCGGGCUUAACCCGGAAAGGUCAAUCGAUACUGCGGGGCUAGAGUGCAGAAGGGGCAACUGGAAUUCUCGGUGUAGCGGUGAAAUGCGUAGAUAUCGAGAGGAACACCUGCGGCGAAGGCGGGUUGCUGGGCUGACACUGACGCUGAAGCGCGAAAGCUAGGGGAGCGAACGGG
rnacentral:rRNA from 1 species